AGCGAACGCUGGCGGCAGGCCUAACACAUGCAAGUCGAACGAACUCUUCGGAGUUAGUGGCGGACGGGUGAGUAACACGUGGGAACGUGCCUUUUGGUUCGGAAUAACUCAGGGAAACUUGUGCUAAUACCGAAUGUGCCCUUAGGGGGAAAGAUUUAUCGCCAUUAGAGCGGCCCGCGUCUGAUUAGCUAGUUGGUGAGGUAACGGCGCACCAAGGCGACGAUCAGUAGCUGGUCUGAGAGGAUGACCAGCCACACUGGGACUGAGACACGGCCCAGACUCCUACGGGAGGCAGCAGUGGGGAAUCUUGCGCAAUGGGCGAAAGCCUGACGCAGCCAUGCCGCGUGAAUGAUGAAGGUCUUAGGAUUGUAAAAUUCUUUCACCGGGGACGAUAAUGACGGUACCCGGAGAAGAAGCCCCGGCUAACUUCGUG
rnacentral:rRNA from 1 species